rnacentral:rRNA from 1 species
GACAGAGGGGGCAAGCGUUGUCCGGAUUUACUGGGCGUAAAGCGUGCGCAGGCGGUUUUGUAAGUCUGAUGUGAAAUCCCCGGGCUCAACCUGGGAAUUGCAUUGGAGACUGCAAGGCUAGAAUCUGGCAGAGGGGGGUAGAAUUCCACGUGUAGCAGUGAAAUGCGUAGAGAUGUGGAGGAACACCGAUGGCGAAGGCAGCCCCCUGGGUCAAGAUUGACGCUCAUGCACGAAAGCGUGGGGAGCAAACAGG